rnacentral:lncRNA from 1 species
UCAAAUGAAAGACGAGGAAGCAACGAUCACCGCUUUACCAUGGACUAACAAUACUUUUCUUUUCUUCCUUUUUCUUUUUCUUUAGUUUUAUAAUAACCGGAAUAAUUAUUUACUAUUGUAUAUUUUUUUUCUCCCUUUCUGGAAUGCAAUGUGACUAAGACAACACUAUAUGAAAUACUAAUGAUCCGGAUAAUAAGUCUCAUACCAAUGAGAAANNN